rnacentral:rRNA from 1 species
AUUGAACGCUGGCGGCAUGGCUAAAACAUGCAAGUCGAACGAGAAAUCACUUCGGUGAGAGUACAGUGGCGGAAGGGCGAGUAACGCGUAUCUAACGUGCCUCUAGGUUAGGGAUAGCUGCUGGAAACGGCAGGUAAUACCUGAUAAUCUCUUAAUAAGGCAUCUUUUUAAGAGCAAAGGCUUGCUGCCUAGAGAUCGGGAUGCGUCCUAUCAGCUUGUUGGUAAGGUAACGGCUUACCAAGGCUAAGACGGGUAGCGGGUGUGAGAGCAUGACCCGCCGCAUCGGAACUGAGAACUGUCCGGACUCCUACGGGAGGCUGCAGUAACGAAUAUUCCGCAAUGCACGAAAGUGUGACGGAGCAAUGCCGCGUGUAGGAUGAAGCAUCUUGGUGUGUAAACUACUGUCAGGGACUAGGAAUUUUGACCAAUCCCAAAGGAAGGGCCGGCUAACUCUGUGCCAGCAGCCGCGGUAAUACAGAGGGCUCGAGCGUUAAUCGGAAUUACUGGGCUUAAAGGGUCCGCAGGCGUCUUUGCAAGCAUCUUGUGAAAUCCCGUGCCUCAAUCACGGAACUGCUUGGUGAACUGCAAGGAUUGAACACAUGAGAGGUAGUCGGAACUGUAGGUGGAGCGGUGAAAUGCGUAGAUAUCUACAGGAACGCCGAAAGUGAAGACAGGCUACUGGCAUGUUGUUGACGCUGAGGGACGAAAGCAUAGGUAGCGAACGGGAUUAGAUACCCCGGUAGUCUAUGCCGUAAACGAUGUGCACUAGAUAUAGGUAGGUUUGACCCUAUCUGUGUCGCAGUUAAAAUAAUAAGUGCACCGCCUGGGGAGUACGGUCGCAAGGCUAAAACUCAAAGGAAUUGACGGGGGCUCACACAAGCGGUGGAGCAUGUGGCUUAAUUCGAAGCAACGCGAAGAACCUUACCUGGGCUUGACAUGUAUGGAUUAGCUAUCAGAGACGAUAGUAACGCCCUCGGGUGGAACAUACACAGGUGCUGCAUGGCUGUCGUCAGCUCGUGCUGUGAAGUGUCGGGUUAAGUCCCUUAACGAGCGAAACCCCUAUCACUAGUUGCUACCAGGUAAUGCUGAGGACUCUAGUGAGACUGCCGGUGUUAAACCGGAGGAAGGUGGGGAUGACGUCAAGUCCUCAUGGCCUUUAUGCCCAGGGUUGCACACGUGCUACAAUGGUAUGGACAAAGCGAAGCAAGACCGCAAGGUGGAGCAAACCGCAAAAACCAUGCCUCAGUUCGGAUUGUGGUCUGCAACUCGACCACAUGAGGUUGGAAUCGCUAGUAAUCGCGAAUCAGCUAUGUCGCGGUGAAUAUGUUCCUGAGCCU